rnacentral:rRNA from 1 species
GACGAACGCUGGCGGCGUGCUUAACACAUGCAAGUCGAACGAUGAAGCCGGAGCUUGCUCUGGUGAAUUAGUGGCGAACGGGUGAGUAACACGUGAGUAACCUGCCCUUGACUCUGGGAUAACUGCGGGAAACUGUAGCUAAUACCGGAUACGACCCUCGGAGGCAUCUCCUGGGGGUGGAAAGAAUUUCGGUCAAGGAUGGACUCGCGGCCUAUCAGCUAGUUGGUGAGGUAAAGGCUCACCAAGGCGACGACGGGUAGCCGGCCUGAGAGGAGGACCGGCCACACUGGGACUGAGACACGGCCCAGACUCCUACGGGAGGCAGCAGUGGGGAAUAUUGCACAAUGGGCGCAAGCCUGAUGCAGCAACGCCGCGUGAGGGAUGACGGCCUUCGGGUUGUAAACCUCUUUUAGCAGGGAAGGAGCGAAAGUGACGGUACCUGCAGAAAAAGCACCGGCUAACUACGUGCCAGCAGCCGCCGUAA